ACACAUGUUUUUAAAACACAAGGGAAGCAAAACUUGUUUUUUAUAUACAUGGCAUUAAUAUGUUUUAAAAUGCUACACAUAUGUUUGUUUUUCUGUUUUCUUUGAUGUGUUGAUAUUAUCGUCGACAAUACAAGGUCAAUUAUGCCCAAUUCAUAUCAAUAUAGACAGCAGCUGGUGUAUCCGACAAUGGUGAGUCAGGUUAAGGUAAUGUAGUGGGGUAGGGGUUCAAAUAACUAGAAACGCCGCCCAAGGUUCGAUAUUUAUGUGACUGUCCGAAUGUAUAUCGGAAUUCUCGUAUAUAUGUAUUUAUACAUAUAACAGAACAAAGAAACCAGGUUGGUAGAAUAUAAUCAAAGUUGCCAUACAAGUUUGUCUUGCGACAGCUAGAGAGCAAAAGAAAGCAUGGUCGGUAAUUUUCUCUGAAUUUCACAAAGGGUUUUGGAACUGACCAAUAAGAAUCUUGUUUCUUUGAAUUCUCUCAUUCUCACUGGACAAAACAUAUAUGACAUCACGGUACAUGGUUGGACGCACACAGGACAAGGGACUGAAUCUCACAAGAGAAUCAAAUGGACACCUACAAGACAAGGGGCAUAAACACUAGUACAGACACAUAGACACAUGCAGUAACACAGAGUGACCUAUCCUACAGUAAUUUAUUUGAUGGCAACUAUUUUGUUCUCUUCCGACGCGAUUCUGAAAGCGAGCUUCGAGAGAUUCUGUCAGAUCUGCACCUGUUCAUCAGAAACUUGAAAGAGAGGCGAAAUCCCAACAAAGCCGAUAAUUAAGCAUCGGCUGGCUGAUGACGAAGAGGAAUCGACUGUCGUUAACAAAAACAAACGUGGGCAAAACUAACACGGCUGGAAAGUGAUUGUUGAAACAGGGAUUCUAUAGUGCGUAGAAAGAAUAAUUGUUUUGCAAUAUUGUUUUAUGGUUCAUUAUUAAUUUAUUAUGAACUUACAGUGAAGAUUUUUCUUUAUCAAUUUAGGAAUUAUCGUUGUUAAUUAAAUGUACAGUGUUGAUUUGAACACAGACUUUAGUCCUUUGCAUAUUAAAUAAUAAUCAAUACUACCAAACAAAUGUAUCGUGUGUGCUGAUUGUAAGUGUUUCUCUGUAUUUUAAAAUGUAUGUAUUUCUCACCGCAGCCAUGACGACUAAAUACAUUGUUGUAGCCAGGAAAUUAUAAAAAUCUUCGAAAAUUAGAUGAAAGAAAGUAAUGACUUGUUGAUAAAAUAAAAACGAUUAUACUAUAUGUUUUAUUACAGACUUUAUAAUAGCAUCCCUGUACAUUCGAAACCCACGCUAAAUCGACAGUUUAAGUCUCGACGCACUGAUAGACGAGGUAAACGUCCGAACAUAGUGGUGUGCUUACUCAUUAGCUUUGUUAUUAAAUCCCUCGUAAAUUUAUUGAAACCUUUUUUCAUUUUUUAUCCGGAAAUGUUCGUAUGAUUAUUUAAAAAGUAAGGCUUUCUCAAACACAUUCUUCAAAACGUUUAAGCACGUGAAAUAAAAUUGUUAAAUACAU